GGGGAUAUAGCUCAGUUGGUAGAGCACCUGCUUUGCACGCAGGGGGUCAGCGGUUCGAAUCCGCUUAUCUCCACCA
rnacentral:tRNA from 1 species